rnacentral:lncRNA from 1 species
CACUACACUUGUGUGUAGUGCUAUUUUUGAGGACUGAGUUAUAUAGAAACAAGUAGAUUAAGCCUUAAUGAUUUUAUUAACUUUUAGUAUUGUCUCUCAUAGAAAUGUUAGUUUUAAGUUACAAUUUUCAAAACUAGCAAUACUAAACCUAAUAAAAAAUGACUCUGCAACAUUUCUGAAGUCCUGCCUAGUCACUACUGGAAAAAUAGAUUUUGAUAUAACAAUUAUUCUAACAUUAAAAACAAUAAAUAGCCAGAACUUGAUGGUUGUUAACAAAAUCAUGAACAUGUGUCAGAAUAAAAAUGGCAAAAGUUAAUAUAUGAAUAACUAUACAGGUAUCCUUCCUAUAACAAGGUAGAUGGAUUCCUGAAAAACAGUAUGUUAUGUGAAACCAUGUUAUAUGAGACCUGGAGUCAAUACAAAAAAGGAAGUUAUGCUCU